UGGGGAAUUUUACGCAAUGGGCGAAAGCCUGACGUAGCGACACCGCGUGAGCGAAGAAGCCCUUUGGGGUGUAAAGCUCUGUCAGCAGGAACGAAAAAAAUGACGGUACCUGCAGAGGAAGCAUCGGCUAACUACGUGCCAGCAGCCGCGGUAAGACGUAGGAUGCGAGCGUUGUCCGGAUUCAUUGGGCGUAAAGAGUUCGUAGGCGGUUUGUUAAGUCUGAUGUUAAAGAUCGGGGCCCAACCCCGGGAUUGCAUUGGAUACUGGCAGACUGGAGUGCAGUAGAGGCGAGUGGAAUUCCCAGUGUAGCGGUGAAAUGCGUAGAUAUUGGGAAGAACACCGGUGGCGCAGGCGACUCGCUGGGCUGUAACUGACGCUGAGGAACGAAAGCUAGGGGAGCAAAUGGG
rnacentral:rRNA from 1 species